rnacentral:lncRNA from 1 species
GGACAUAGUAUGUACCGGUCUAUGCAUUGUCAGUAUCCCUCCGACAAUCAUAUGACCAAGAACCUUUUGGACAUGAUGGUUAUGUGAAGAAGGUCUAUGUAGUCUAACAUCAUUAGAUUACUUCUUCCAUCAAUCCAUUGUCCAUGGAUUCACUAUUUAGGACAUAUAUCGUGUGUUGAGAUAGUCCUAAUUAGUAUCUUUGCCAUUUGAUGUACAAGAAUCAUCUAUACAUCCAUUCAUUGUCCUGAAAGGUUUCUUCCAAAGAUUGACUUUCAGGGCAUAUUCCAACACCAUUCUCAUAGUCAAUAUGUGAGACUAAUUUUUCUCCACAUAACACUGUUUAAAUAGCAGAAUUUUGACAUGGAUGGCCAUGUUGGCCGAAUCCCCUUAGUAAAUUUGGUUUACUUUGUGAACAUUUUUCUAUGUUCUUGGAUUCAAGUUUGGUGUUUCUUUUAGUUAUGGAUACUGUUAUCGAUAUUUUCCUCGAAUAUGAGUUAAUUGAAUCAUGUUUCUUAAAACAUGUGACCAAAUUCAAUUAAACACGUAAUUAGGUACAAAUGUGGGAAAAUUAGUUGUCUGGAUGAAUACGAUACUAUGCACACCAACUUUAUACCUAAAUCACAUCUCUAGCAAUGACUUUGUAAUUUAACUGCAACAAAUCUCGAAUUAAAAUACUAGACGCAUUGUCAUAAACAUGCAACAAUAUAAUUGUUUUGUAUUCCAAAUAAUUUAUUCACAAAACGUUAUUACAAAAAGUGUGACUUUCAUACUCAUUUGCUCUUCUUGGUCAACCAAAAUUGUAUUAGUUUGAUUCGUGAUUUUAAAAUAUGGGGAAUGUUUAGCCCAUUAAUAUGUGGCCAAUCGUUUGGUCCUUCCAUGGCCUCUAGAAGUGUUUGGUGCGAAGUUGAACAAAUGAUCGCAACCUAAUUAAGAGCAUUGGCAUACUCCUUGUUGUAUGAAUGGUAUUAACUUACCAUUUACAGUGGAAUAUCUUUGCACCACCUCCAAAAUACAAAGCCUGAAACUAUGUUUUAGGGCCAAUGGGCUACCUCCCAACUGGGAUAUGCCACAUGUGGCUAGCCUAAAGCAUGGUGAUUGACUACUUUAAUUGCUUUGGCAUGACCAUUUGGGACACUUAAGUUGAACAAUGAUUCCAUGCCAUACUUCUUUACCCAAAGUAAGGAUCUUGUGCUUACAAGCACACUUUGCCAAGCUCGCUCAUUUGGGAAAUUGAUUUUCUAUAUCAUCCCUAACAAAGAUACGAAAGCACCCUCUUUUCACAGUGGAUUCAAAGGAAUAUACGUGUACUAAUCCAACCAACAUGCGAAUCAUAUAAAUACUUAGUGUUUUGGUUGGUGUAUCGACAAAAUGGUCACAUG